UUGUAAUGAUGUUGAUCAAACAUUUGACCUGAAAUUAUCUUAAAUUUCUCCUGAGCUGAAAGG
rnacentral:snoRNA from 1 species